rnacentral:rRNA from 1 species
CCCUUAGAUGUCCUGGGCCGCACGCGCGCUACACUGAGUGUCUGAGAUACGAGUCUGCCUGGUCCGGCAAGGUCUAGGUAAUCGCUAAAAGACACAUCAUGCUUAGGAUAGAUUAUUGCAAAUAUUAAUCUUGAACGAGGAAUUCCUAGUAAGCGCAAGUCAACAGCUUGCGUUGAUUACGUCCCUGCCCUUUGUACACACCGCCCGUCGCUACUACUGAUUGGAUGUUUAAGCGAGGUUCUCGAACUGCUAGCGACUUAGCUUCGGUGAGGUCGCAGUGUGGGAAGUGAACCUAGCUUUGGUGUCUAGAGGAAGUAAAAGUCGUAACA